UACGUAGGGGGCAAGCGUUGUCCGGAAUCAUUGGGCGUAAAGAGCGUGUAGGCGGCCCGGUAAGUCCGCUGUGAAAGUCCAGGGCUCAACCCUGGGAUGCCGGUGGAUACUGUCGGGCUCGAGUCCGGAAGAGGAGUGUGGAAUUCCUGGCGUAGCGGUGAAAUGCGCAGAUAUCAGGAGGAACACCAAUGGCGAAGGCAGCACUCUGGGACGUGACUGACGCUGAGACGCGAAAGCGUGGGGAGCAAACAGG
rnacentral:rRNA from 1 species